rnacentral:rRNA from 1 species
UACGGAGGGUGCAAACGUUGCUCGGAAUCAUUGGGCGUAAAGCGCACGUAGGCGGCGCGUUAAGUCGGGUGUGAAAGCCCUGGGCUCAACCCAGGAAGUGCAUUCGAAACUGGCGCGCUUGAAUAUGGAAGAGGGUCGCGGAAUUCCCGGUGUAGAGGUGAAAUUCGUAGAUAUCGGGAGGAACACCAGUGGCGAAGGCGGCGACCUGGGCCAAUAUUGACGCUGAGGUGCGAAAGCGUGGGGAGCAAA